GAGCUAUGUAGAAGAUAUAUGCGCUAUCGUGAUGGUGGGUUCAUCAUUCAAUCAUCACCUUCGAUGAAAAGAAGAGCCUCUGAGCUC